AUGUUCACAGAAACUGGGCAGCCGGCGGCGCGGGGGCUCGAUCGAUCGAGCUCAUCACUCACUGGCAUUCGGAGGUGUGUUCAUGCCGUGCAAAUGGGGAGGUGGCUGCGGCCCAAUCCGAGGGUCGGGGAGGAGGAAGAGGAGGCGGAGAAGGAGUACCAGGUGGACGUGCUGCCCGACCGGCUGAAGUCGUCGCGGAGCAGCCGCGCUCCCUCGCUCCGCUCCCUCAGCCGCCUCGCCGACGACGUGGAGGGCGGGUUCCUCCGCGGCCACAUCGCCCACCCCGACAACGAGUGGUAUCGGAUAUGGACAAGGGGGCUGCCUUGGAACCUCUUCCUCUUGGACAUGGUUGGCCAGAUUGCCUUCCUUAUUGAUAUUGCUCUGAGGUUUCUUGUGGCCUACCGUGACCCGGACACACUCUGCAUCGUAUACAAUCCAACCUCUAUUGCCGUCCGAUAUUGCAAAUCAAACUUCAUCUUCGAUUUACUUGGUUGCUUCCCUUGGGAUGUUAUCUAUAAGGCUUGUGGACGUAAAGAAGAAGUACGAUACUUAUUGUGGAUUCGCAUGACAAGAACUCAGAAAGUUACACAGUUUUUUAGGGAUUUGGAAAAGGACAUUCGUGUUAAUUACCUGUUCACAAGAAUAGUGAAACUCAUAGUUGUGGAGCUCUAUUUUACACACACGGCAGCUUGCAUCUUCUAUUACCUGGCAACAACACUUCCUGAAUCAAUGGAAGGAUAUACAUGGAUAGGGAGUUUGCAGUUAGGAGACUAUAGCUAUUCUCAUUUCAGGGAUAUUGAUCUAACCACACGUUAUAUUACAUCAAUGUACUUUGCCAUCGUCACCAUGACAACUGUUGGCUAUGGUGACAUUCAUGCUGUAAAUCUAAGGGAAAUGAUAUUUAUCAUGAUAUAUGUUUCCUUUGGUAUGGUUCUUGGAGCUUAUCUCAUCGGUAACAUGACUGCAAUUAUUGUGAAAGGCUCGGCAACCGAGCGAUUCAGGGAUCAAAUGAAAGAAGCUAUCAUGUAUAUGAACAGACAUAAACUUGGAAAGGACAUCAGAGAACAAAUCAAGGGUCAUUUGAGGUUGCAGUAUGAAAGCAGCCGCACUGAAGCCUCUGUUCUUCGGGAUAUCCCAAUUUCUAUUCGUGCAAAGAUUUCACAAACACUGUACAUGCCAUAUAUUGAAAGGACACCACUGUUCAAAGGAUGUUCAGCAGAAUUCCUUCAACAGAUUGUUGCCAGGCUGCAAGAAGAGUUCUACUUACCAGAAGAAGUUGUUUUGGAGCAAGGAAGUGUAGUUGAUCAGUUAUACUUUGUCUGUCAGGGUGCACUAGAAGGAGUUGGCAUUGGCAAAGAUGGUCAAGAAGAGGCCAGUUUAAUGUUUGAGCAAGGGAACUCUUUUGGAGAAAUUGCUAUUCUUUGCAACAUUCCACAGCCCUACAAUAUUCGUGUUUGUGAACUUUGCAGGCUCUUACGGUUGGAUAAAGAGUCAUUGACAUACAUAUUGGAGAUCUAUUUCGCUGAUGGAAGAAAACUUUUGAGCAAUCUUACUGAGAGCAAGGAAUACGGCCUACGAGUCAAACAAAUAGGACCAGAUAUCAAAUUCCAUAUAGGGAAACAAGAGGAAGAGCUGACCUUAAGAGUGAACACCGCCGCUUUCCACGGUGAGCUUAAUCAGCUGACAGACUUAAUCCGAGCUGGAGUCGAUCCAAAGAACACUGAUUAUGACGGGCGGUCUCCUUUGCAUCUUGCAGCUUCCAAAGGUUAUGAAGAAGUUGCGCAGUUCCUUAUCCAUGAGGGCGUUGAUAUCAACUGUACUGAUAAUUUUGGGAACACACCCUUACUAGAGGCAGUAAAGCAGGGGCAUGAUAGAGUGGCCUCAUUGCUCUUUAUCAAAGGAGCCAAGCUGAACCUCGAGAAUGCCGGUAUCCAUCUCUGCAUGGCUGUAUCAAAGAGAGAGACUGAUUUCAUCCGGGGGGCUCUAGCUUACGGUGCCGACCCAAACUCGAAAGACUACGACCACCGGCAUCCUCUCCACAUAGCCGCUGCAGAGGGCUUGUAUAUAAUGGCGAAGUUGUUGGUAGACGCUGGUGCAAGUGUGCUUGUAACAGACAGACGCGGUACUACUCCGCUGGACGAAGGGCGCAAGUCCGGGAAUAAAAUACAUCAACGACUGUGCUCCGUGUUCCCUUGCCAUCGUUGA
rnacentral:rRNA from 1 species